GGUUUAGCCUGAUGGUGGAUGAUUCUUCUGCUGCUUGUUGGUAGCAAGUAUUGUCUUUUAUUUGUACCUUCAGGAAAAAAUUUCCUCCACUUGAUUUUUUUUUUUUCCUUUUUGUGGGUAACAAAUUCACAAAUAAGCUAUAAUCAAGUAGAAGAUGAAGCUGCCUGUGUCAUCUUCAGUCUUCUGCUACUGUCCUUUAAAGAAUCACAUUUGGUUUAUGGGGUUAUGGAGAGGAAGAUAGAUGGGAGGGAAUCACCUUUACCCUACAAGAAGUCAUUCUUAAAAGAGGAUGAUUAAAUCAAGUAUGCCAAAAGGCGAGCCAUGCUUUACCUGGAUAUAUAGUACAGACAACAUGCCUAAGGAAAAAGGGAACAGAAGAAUACACAUUACAAUAUUGAUGUGUUUAAUUUAUAAUGAAGACUGUUGCUGUUUCAGCAGUGGUAUUGCUUGUUCUAUUUCUGUCAGAGCAUAUCUUAAGCUGUACAAGGAAAGGCUAAAUCUCCAACUGCUGUAUCAGCUGGGCAUCAUGUCAAAUUAGUGCCUGUUGAAGAUUUUUCUGAGUUUCAAAUAUGAUCUUGAAUUAAAAAUUAAAUCCUAUGUGAAAAAUGUCACUCUGCUGUUUGUCAUCCAUCUAGUUUAUAUAGAGGUCAGACUGGCCUCUUGUAUAUAUAUCUACAUUUUCUCUAAUUCUUUUGGGGCAUGAGGUAUAGCCCUAUGAAAUUGG
rnacentral:lncRNA from 1 species